UACGUAGGGUGCAAGCGUUGUCCGGAAUUAUUGGGCGUAAAGAGCUCGUAGGCGGUCUGUCGCGUCUGCUGUGAAAACUCAGGGCUUAACCCUGAGCUUGCAGUGGGUACGGGCAGACUAGAGUGCGGUAGGGGAGACUGGAAUUCCUGGUGUAGCGGUGAAAUGCGCAGAUAUCAGGAAGAACACCAACGGCGAAGGCAGCUCGCUAGGACGGUACUGACGCU
rnacentral:rRNA from 1 species